GGGUAAGUGAAAAGCUGGUGGACCGCGGAACAUGUGCUUCGUUCGUGCCAUAUGUCUGCCGACCAUCACCUUUAGAAGCCC
rfam:Canis lupus familiaris chromosome 8, whole genome shotgun sequence.